UACGGAGGGGGCGAGCGUUAUUCGGAAUUAUUGGGCGUAAAGGGCGCGUAGGCGGCUGUACAAGUCAAAGGUGAAAUCCCUCGGCUCAACUGGGCGGGGUCGGCGGAUACGGCGUGGCUGGAGCAAGCUAGGGGGCAAUGGAAUUCCCGGUGUAGUGGUGGAAUGCGUAGAUAUCGGGAGGAACACCAGUGGCGAAGGCGGUUGCCUGGAGCUUUGCUGACGCUGAGGCGCGAAAGCGUGGGGAGCGAACAGG
rnacentral:rRNA from 1 species